GUGGUCCUGAAUCAAAGUCGACAGUCUUCUGAAGCUGUUGCUUUCAAGCAGGAACCUAAAGUGAUAUCUUUCCAUGGUCUGUUGACCAUUUCAGAACUUUAAAAAAUGUAAUGGUUAAUUCAUUACAAAGAAACAAAU
ensembl:snoRNA small nucleolar RNA SNORA2/SNORA34 family